CACACAGCAGAGGACUCCGAUGCGGAGCCGCGUUCAAGUCACCACAUCCGUGUCACUGUCACAUUCCUUUGGGUUCCACUUGGUGGAUCAGGGUCGCCACCGUGCGCCGCCCCAAAUUCUACCGUCAAAACGCGGACCAUAAUCGCAUCCAUAUCUGAUUCACAAACGCGGACGCGCUGUAAAAUCUAACGGACGUUGGUACAGUUUUUGUUGGGGCAGACACGACCGAACAGCGCUCUCCAUAUACAGGUGGAAUUACCUCUGGGUCGGACAGGGCUAGCCAGCUGUAAUCCACCCUGCUACGGUGAUGCCCGCCUGCCUCCCGGCUUUUACGACCAAGAAUCGGAGCGCUGAUGUGAUGUUUCCCCGUCGACUGAUGAGGGAAGUAAGAGAAGGCAGCCACGACACGCGAUUGUUCAACAUGACAGUGAGACAGAAAAAUAAUGUCAAGAUAAAUAAAAAAUCAUGAUGAGUGAAGUUCUUCGUCAGGUUGUGUUUUUUUCGGGUUCUUAUUUAAACGGUGUCUAGGCCAGGUCUGUGUUAUCUGUAGAAUUAAAUCUAA